UGAGGAAUAUUGGUCAAUGGGCGGGAGCCUGAACCAGCCAAGUCGCGUGAGGGAAGACGGUCUUACGGAUUGUAAACCUCUUUUGCCGGGGAGCAAAGGGCGCCACGCGUGGCGUUUCGAGAGUACCCGGAGAAAAAGCAUCGGCUAACUCCGUGCCAGCAGCCGCGGUAAUACGGAGGAUGCGAGCGUUAUCCGGAUUUAUUGGGUUUAAAGGGUGCGUAGGCGGGCCGGUAAGUCAGCGGUAAAAUAGCGGGGCUCAACCCCGUCGAGCCGUUGAAACUGCCGGUCUUGAGUGGGCGAGAAGUGCGCGGAAUGCGUGGUGUAGCGGUGAAAUGCAUAGAUAUCACGCAGAACCCCGAUUGCGAAGGCAGCGCACCGGCGCCCAACUGACGCUGAAGCACGAAAGCGUGGGUAUCGAACAGGAUUAGAUACC
rnacentral:rRNA from 1 species